AUCCAGCUGACGAGUUCUAAAUAGGACGAAACACGCGCCCUGGAU
rnacentral:hammerhead_ribozyme from 1 species